rnacentral:antisense_RNA from 1 species
GCUCUAGGAACGUGGCGGAGCGACCCUCUAUGGUCCCGGGCCCACCCGAAAGCGUUGUUCGUUUCUUCCUGUGGUUUUGUUUUCUCCUCCCCCCAACUCGGAAGGCGUCCUGUGACCCCCGGGACCUCAAGAGCUGUAACCGCCCCUGUGUGUGGUCGAGGCUUUUGAAAUCAAACUAGCCUCUCCAACCUAGAAACUGCAUACUUUCUACAAAUAUUGAGAUUUUUGAGACCCUGGUACUUUUCACGAAGUCACCUUAUUUAAUUAUCACCAAAAAGCUCCUGCAAGAUGGGAGUGGUUAUACUCCAUUUACAGGAAAGGAACCAAGGCUCGGAGAAGAAAUUUGCUCUGUUCACGGUGUGCUCCUCCUCAGCCAUCCUGGCCGUGCUCAGUCAUCUGACCAGCUGACCUUCGUGUUCCCCCACUCCCUGGGGAACUCCUCCGCCUCUUGGCUUCCAAUGCUAUUGCUGCAGCUGAAGACUCCCGCAUUGAUAACUCCAGUCUGACCGUGGGACGUAAAUGUUAUUGAACUUUAGACUUGUAUAUCGAACUGAUUACUCAAGAGCUGCAUUUGCAUGUGUAAUGGACAUCCCAAACCUAACAUACCCCUAAAAUGAAUUCCUGAUAUCUACCUAACCUGUUCUUGCAACAGUCUUCUUCCCAGGGAUGGAUGAAGAUCCCAUCAUCUUUCCAGUUGCUCAAGCCAAAAACCUUGAUGUCACUGUUGUCUCUUCUUUUUUUCAUCCAAAACUCACCUGUGACUUAUCCACAAAUUCUGUUGGCUUCAUCGUUAAAAUAUAUUCAUUAUCAAGCCACUUUCAACACUUCGACUGCUAUAACCACCAAGCCACCUUCAUCCACCUUCUGUAUUAUUAUAUUGACUUCCAGACUGGUUGCCCUACAGUCUAUUCAUGGCCCCAGAGUAAUCCUCUUAAACCUAAGUCAGAUCAUGUCAUUCAUUUGUUCAAAACCUUCAAAGGCUUCCCAACUUAUUAGAGCAAAGUCAAGGACCUCGCAGUGGCACUCGAUGCCUCUCAUGAUCUGUCUCUUUAGUUCUUUAUUGUGUCUGCAGUGCUGAAAACAGUGCUCAGCAGGGAACAGGCACUCAGUAAAUAGCUGUUGAAUGAAUGAAUUUAUAAGAUGCCUUAUUGUUUACAAAGUACUUUUACAUCUUGUCUUCUGGUUAUUCAUCUUCACCAUAGUCUCAUGAAGCACAGAUUAUCAUAUCUGUCUUGAAAAUCAGUAAACUGAAGCAAGAGAGGCCGACCUGCCUGAAGUGAUACAGUGGGUUGUUGGUGGAGGCUAAACUAAGUCAUAGGUUCAUUCUCUUAAGUUGGGGCUUUCUGCUCUGUAGGGAGAUGUCUCUGCAUAUGGCAAAGCACAAAGCUGAAUGAGCACAAAGCUGAAUGAGGUCUGGACAAAGAAGCUCCACUCGCAAUCUAGAGAGUAUCUGGACUAUUGCAGUGAUUAAAUGAGGUAAUGUAAGGCACUUAGCACAAUGUAUAACACAGAAGAAAUGAGAGUCAUUGUUGAUACUUUUAUUAUUAAAUUGUUAUAAGUUGGUUGAUGCUGGUGGUUGGAGAGUUUGGGGUAAAGGGCAAUGGCCAGAGAUCUAGAAAUGGUUUAGGAAAAGUGUCAGGAGCAAACAUGACCCGUUGGGACUGUCUGCUCUAUGUACACUAAAAUAAAAAGAUAAUUUUAAAAAACCAUUUUGUUAGUAAGGUAGUUACUAAUUAAAACUACCUCCUUUAAUGUCUACAUAAAGAUGGAUUAUCCCUUUUUCCUAUACCUGAAAACAACUGGGCCAGCCAUAGAAGGCCCAGAGGUAUGUCAACUAAAACAUUGGGUAAACGAGGAUGGAUUUUUUAAAAAGAGAGAGACGAAAGUCAGGAAAUAAAGGAGUGUGUGUCCCUAAGUGUGGACAGAGUCCUAGGCAGUAAGGAUGGAGAGGAGGGAGAGCCAGAAAAAGAGAUGAGGGAGAGGAGGGUAAAGGAGAAUGGGAAAAAAGACAAGGAGAGAAAGCAGGUAGGGUUUUAUGCCUUCAGCUUAGCUGUUAGUAUAAUAAUAGUUAACACUUAUUGAGUGCUUAUUGGGUGCCGGGCACUGUUUGCAGCAUUUGAGGAUCUCACGUGAGAUUCCUGAGGCAUGAUUGUUCCUGAGGGUUUGCUCCACCUUCUCUGGUUUUGGUCCCUGCACUUUGUGGUGUGACUCUGGUGCCUCCUGGUGAACCACAUGCCUGUCCCACUGAUGUUGACUUGACCACUGAUUUGAAUUGGCUGACUGCAUGUGACUGGAUGCAAGGGGUACACCACAUCCCAGAAGAAGCUUCGAGUCAUUGUGUUUCUGCCAGGACUCUGCUCUUUCCCUCUGCCUUGAGAAUAGCAUGUCCCAAGUAGGGGCUGCCCCUUUAGUCUAGGACCCAGGAUGAUAAGACACAUGGAGCAGAGCCACAGAAGCUCACAUGUAACUACAACAGUCCCACGUAAUGUUAGAGAAACAAAUGCUCUUAUAACACUGAGAUUCUUGGUGGUAUUACUGCAUUAAAGUUGACUAAUGUACCUCCCACCAACCGUAAGAGAUAGGAAUUGUUAUUAUCCUGUGAUAUUGUGAAAUACACAGUUGAUCUUCUCCCCGUUUCCUGACAUACAACUUCUAAAAUCCUUAGAAUCUCCAAAGUGACGUCUUUUUAUAUGCUAAUGAGUUGACUGAUGCCUGGUAGCCCCUGGGUAGCUUCAGGAUGGGGCUGGUCACUGGAAAGACCACGGCAGGAUUAGAAGGAUGGCAAUUUCAGCUCCAGCCUAUCAACAUCUGGGGAGGAGGGCAACUGAAGGUGAAGUGGAUCACCAGUGGCUGAUGGAUUAAUCAUGCCAGUGUUACAAAGUCUCCAUAAAAAGCUCCCAAAGGACUGGGUUCAGAGAGCUUCUGGAUACCUGAACACAUGGAUGUUACUGGAGGGUGGCACCUGGGGUCGGGGGGCGCAAAGGGGAAGGAGCAUGGAAGCUCCGCACCCUUUCCUUCAUGCCUCACUAUAUGCAUUUCUUUUUCUAUAUCCUUUGGAAUAUUAUUUGUAAUAAACCAGGAAAUGUGUUUCGCUG